CGUUGUCCGGAAUUACUGGGCGUAAAGCGCACGUAGGCGGCUUUGUAAGUUAGAGGUGAAAGCCCGGGGCUCAACUCCGGAAUUGCCUUUAAGACUGCAUCGCUAGAAUUGUGGAGAGGUAAGUGGAAUUCCGAGUGUAGAGGUGAAAUUCGUAGAUAUUCGGAAGAACACCAGUGGAGAAGGCGACUUACUGGACACAUAUUGACGCUGAGGUGCGAAAGCGUGGGGAGCAAACAGG
rnacentral:rRNA from 1 species